UGGAAGGCCGAAGAGAUUUGGCUGUGCUCGCAAGAGAACCGGAACACAGGUGCUGCAUGGCUGUCGUCAGCUCGUGUCGUGAGAUGUUGGGUUAAGUCCCGCAACGAGCGCAACCCUUGUCAUUAGUUGCUACGAAAGGGCACUCUAAUGAGACUGCCGGUGACAAACCGGAGGAAGGUGGGGAUGACGUCAAGUCCUCAUGGCCCUUAUGGGUAGGGCUUCACACGUCAUACAAUGGUCGGGACAGAGGGUCGCCAACCCGCAGGGGGAGCUAAUCCCAGAAACCCGAUCGUAGUCCGGAUCGCAGUCUGCAACUCGACUGCGUGAAGUCGGAAUCGCUAGUAAUCGCGGAUCAGCAUGUCGCGGUGAAUACGUUCCCGGGUCUUGUACACACCGCCCGUCACACCAUGGGAGUGGGUUUUACCAGAAGUAGUUAGCCUAACCGCAAGGAGGGCGAUUACCACGGUAGGAUUCAUGACUGGGGUGAAGUCGUAACAAGGUAAGCGUAGUGCU
rnacentral:rRNA from 1 species